rnacentral:misc_RNA from 1 species
AGGGGCUCGUUUUCAUCUGUAGUUCCAAGCAUUUCGCUUACCAAUAGCUGCCGUUCUGUAGGACCGCCAAAGGUUAAGCAUUUUUCGACAACGUUAGAGGCAAACUUCUGCUGACUCAUUUGAACUAUUCUACCAGCCAAUUCCUUGAUAAUUGCAGAACGCUCAUGAGGUUUUCCAUGCUCCAAUACGUGCUGAACAACAUAAUUUCCGUAUUGAUCUUGUGCCAACAUGCUA